UACGAAGGGUGCAAGCGUUGCUCGGAAUUAUUGGGCGUAAAGGGUAGGUAGGUGGUGAUAUUUGUCUGGGGUGAAAUCCCUGAGCUUAACUCAGGACGUGCCUUGGAAACGGUAUCACUAGAGUACUGGAGAGGUUCGUAGAAUUCCUGGUGUAGCGGUGAAAUGCGUAGAGAUCAGGAAGAACACCUAUGGCGAAGGCAGCACUCUGGGACGGUACUGACGCUGAGACGCGAAAGCGUGGGGAGCGAACAGG
rnacentral:rRNA from 1 species